CCUACGGGGGGCAGCAGUAGGGAAUCUUCCGCAAUGGACGAAAGUCUGACGGAGCAACGCCGCGUGAGCGAAGAAGGUCUUCGGAUCGUAAAGCUCUGUUGUUAGGGAAGAACAAGUACGGGAGGAAAUGACCGUACCUUGACGGUACCUAACGAGGAAGCCACGGCUAACUACGUGCCAGCAGCCGCGGUAAUACGUAGGUGGCAAGCGUAGGGCGGAAUUAUUGGUCGUAAAGCGCGCGCAGGCGGUCUUUUAAUUCUGAUGUGAAAUCUUGCGGCUCAACCGCAAGCGGUCAUUGGAAACUGGGAGACUUGAGUGCAGAAGCGGAUAGCUGAAUUGCUUGUGUGGCGGUGAAAUGCGUAGAGAUGUGGAGGAACACCAGUGGAGAAGGCGGCUUUCUGGUCUGUAACGGACGCGGAGGCGCGAAGGCGUGGAGAGCAGACAGGAUUAGAUACCCUUGUAGUC
rnacentral:rRNA from 1 species